AGAUGUGAGAGCUAACUAGCUACAUUAUCUGUCACUCCAUUCAUCACCAGGGUUGAUUCGGAUGACCUGACUGGUUAGACAGGCACCCCCUUCCUUCCUCACCACUCUGUAUACAUCCCUUCUGAAGCUGCAUGCUUGGUCUAAGAGGAUGAUCUUCCCAUUAGAAAACAGCUCAAAAGCUGGGCAUGGGUGGCUCAUGCCUAUAAUCCUAGCUACUCAGAAGGCUGAGAUCUGAGGAUCGAGGUUCAAAGCCAGCCCUGGCAGGAAAGUCCUUGAGACUCUUAUCU
rnacentral:sRNA from 1 species